rnacentral:tmRNA from 1 species
GGGGCUGCUUGGUUUCGACGGAUUUGUUUGGACUUAAACUGCAAGUCGGAGGUACACGUUAAGUACAAAAAAGCAAUAAAUGCAAACAAAAUUAAAUCUGUUUACAACAAUGUUUUAAGAGCUUUCUCUUCAAACGUUGCUUUUGCCUAAUAAUUUAAGGUAACAGGCUUUUAUAAGUUCUCUCUUAUCGGAAUUUAUAGAGGUUCAUUUUAGAUAAGAUAGUUUAUUUUAUAGUCUAGUAAAAUAAAUGAAAAAAAUAGACUUACUAAAAAAGAGAUUGUUUAUUAUCUAUAUUUUUUAGGACAAAUAAUUAAUAAACUAAGCUUGUAGACGUUUAUUUACUGGAUGAUUUCGGACAGGAGUUCGAUUCUCCUCAGCUCCACCA